ACACGAGUUACCCCUUUUUUGGCUUGUAAAAUGACUAGCUAAUUUUAGUUAAAUCCAAUUGUAGGUCAUUUCUUUCUAGCAGAUGCGGGUUAUGCAGCACGACCUGGCAUAUUACCUCCAUUUAGGGGUGUUCGGUACCAUCUUAAGGAGUUUCAGGGUACUAGGCGGCCAGAGAAUUCAAAAGAAUUAUUCAACCUUCGACACUCUUCUCUUAGGACAACGAUAGAACGAGCAUUUGGUACACUCAAAAACAGAUUUAAGUUACUCACAAGCCAACCAUUCUUCCCUCUCAAAACUCAAGUGAAGAUAGUUUUGGCUUGUUGUGCUUUGCACAACUUCAUAAUAGAGGAUGGUACUGAUAUUUAUGUUUAUGAAGAUGAGGCAUGGUUUGGAAGUCUUCCAAGAAGCAGUCGUACCCAUGCUGAUAUGAACAAAGAUAAUAAACUUUGGGCCACUAUGCGUGAUCAGCUAGCGCAGCAAAUGUGGGACGAUUGGGAUGAAAAUUGAUCUUUUUAUGUGGCUGUAAUGAGAACCUAUUUUAUGGUUUUAUGUGGCUGUAAUGAGAACCUAUUUUAUGGUUUUAUGUGGCUGUAAUGAGAACCUAUUUUAUGGUAUUAUGUUGCUGUAAUGAGAACCUAUUUUAU
rnacentral:lncRNA from 1 species